AGCGAACGCUGGCGGCAGGCUUAACACAUGCAAGUCGAGCGGGCGUAGCAAUACGUCAGCGGCAGACGGGUGAGUAACGCGUGGGGGGAACGUACCUUUUGGUUCGGAACAACACAGGGAAACUUGUGCUAAUACCGGAUAAGCCCUUACGGGGAAAGAUUUAUCGCCGAAAGAUCGGCCCGCGUCUGAUUAGCUAGUUGGAGGGGUAAUGGCCCACCAAGGCGACGAUCAGUAGCUGGUCNGAGAGGAUGAUCAGCCACAUUGGGACUGAGACACGGCCCAAACUCCUACGGGAGGCAGCAGUGGGGAAUAUUGGACAAUGGGCGCAAGCCUGAUCCAGCCAUGCCGCGUGAGUGAUGAAGGCCCUAGGGUUGUAAAGCUCUUUUGUGCGGGAAGAUAAUGACGGUACCGCAAGAAUAAGCCCCGGCUAACUUCGUGCCAGCAGCCGCCGUAAC
rnacentral:rRNA from 1 species